rnacentral:piRNA from 1 species
UAAUCUAACGGGAAGGGCAUCGGACCAC